CUCCAACCACCGCUGCAUACGUGACGACUUGCUGUUGAUUGCAGCGUCCUCCUUGCUUUGGCUGUCCUGGGGUAAGCGUCGUAUUCCGUCGCGCUGAUAUUAUCUGCUUUAAUCGUGUGUUUUACACUUUGUAAUGAAGUCCCUAUUUGCGUCGUGAACUUUGAAUCCAUUUGUGUGGCUUUGCGGAACACGGGAUCUUCUGAACUAAUUAUUAAUGGCAGAACAUAUUUCGGUGAAAACACACCGCUGCACCUAUUCAACUGAAUGACUCGAAGCGGGACAACGUGAAGCUUGGUUACAAAGUAAAUACCGCAAUACAGCAAUAUGAAGUGAUAAGAAAGGCAGAUAUAAAGUGACAUCAAAUUCAUUGACAACUGAGCAGAUAUGACUGAAGUGUCAAGUGGAAAAAAUGCUGCAGAAAGUAGGAAGAACAAAUUUAUAUGAAUUAUAAGAAAACGUUGAAUGAUCAAUCUCGACAUUCUGACAUCAGUUUCUUACUCCACAUGGCCGAUUGUGUCUAAGUUGAAAAUGAAGAGUCAUUGAACAUCCGAACUUUGUGUAUUUGAGCAUAAAGUAGCGGGUUGGAUCCAAAUUGUUCAGUACGGAAAGAAGAAGAAUGGGACAGACUUGCAUAUCGAUGUAGUUGUUGUAUUAAAAACUAUUUGUCGGUAGCUAUUUGUUCACUUCGUUAUUUAAACUUUAGAACAUUGAUAUAUAAAAUCUGAUACAUUGCAUUUGAUAUAAAGUAAUAUGGCCAUGCAUACUAAAACUGCUUAUUUUAAUAGAAUUUAAACAAUAUCUCUAUUUGUAGUGAUUAUUUCACCGACAUGCAUU